GGUUGCGUGGCCCAGUGGUUAAGGCAUCUGCUUUACAAGCUUAUCUAGCAUCAGUAUCGCAGAGGAUCGCAGGUUCGAUCCCUGCCGCGAUCA
rnacentral:tRNA from 1 species